AUUGAACGCUGGCGGCAGGCCUAACACAUGCAAGUCGAGCGAGCGGCGGACGGGUGAGUAAUGCCUGGUAAUUGCCCAGUCGAGGGGGAUAACAGUUGGAAACGACUGCUAAUACCGCAUACGUUUGGAUUGCCCAGGUGGGAUUAGCUAGUUGGUGAGGUAAUGGCUCACCAAGGCGACGACCCCUAGCUGGUCUGAGAGGACGGUCAGCCACACUGAAACUGAGACACGGUCCAGACUCCUACGGGAGGCAGCAGUGGGUAAUAUUGCACAAUGGGGUGAACCCUGAUGCAGCCAUGCCGCGGGUGUGAAGAAGGCCUUCGGGUUAUAAAGCACUUUCAGCGAGGAGGCGUUACUCGCAGAAGAAGCACCGGCUAACUCCGUGCCAGCCGCCGCGGUAAUAC
rnacentral:rRNA from 1 species